UACGUAGGUGACAAGCGUUGUCCGGAUUUACUGGGCGUAAAAGAGCGCGCAGGCGGUCGAUCAAGUCGAGUGUGAAAGCCCCCGGCUCAACUGGGGGAGGGUCAUUCGAUACUGAUCGACUCGAAGGCAGGAGAGGGUAGUGGAAUUCCCGGUGUAGUGGUGAAAUGCGUAGAUAUCGGGAGGAACACCAGUGGCGAAGGCGACUACCUGGCCUGUUCUUGACGCUGAGGAGCGAAAGCGUGGGGAGCGAACAGG
rnacentral:rRNA from 1 species